rnacentral:rRNA from 1 species
UUGCGGCCAAAUCACGUUGAAAUAUUGGUUCCCGUACGAUCACCGAAGUUAAGCAACGUCGAGAUUGGUCAGUACUUGGAUAGGUGAUCGCUUGGGAAUGCCAAGUGCUGUAA